UACGUAGGGGGCAAGCGUUGUCCGGAUUUAUUGGGCGUAAAGAGCGUGUAGGCGGUUUGGUAGGUCCGCUGUGAAAACUCGAGGCUCAACCUCGAGACGCCGGUGGAAACCAUCAGGCUAGAGUCCGGAAGAGGAAGAGGAGUACUCGUGGUAUGACGGUGAAAUGCGCAGAUAUCAGGAAGAACACCCGUGGCGAAGGCGGCUCUCUGGGACGGUACUGACGCUGAGACGCGAAAGCGUGGGGAGCGAACAGG
rnacentral:rRNA from 1 species